rnacentral:lncRNA from 1 species
GGAAAGCUCAUUCUGCCCAGCACCUCACUGUGUUCUGUUUUCUGGUCCCUUCAAUACCAAGAUGCAUGGGCAGAAGACCUCCGAGUUCUGCUUCUGGUGACGGGACAGGAACAGAUGCCACUAUCCGGACAGUUUGGUGUUGCCCCCAGGCCACAGAAACCCACAAGGAAGCAUCCCGGGCUGAAGGACCCCGCGGUGCCCGCCGUCAUCAGCUCCGCCACAGGCCGUCCAGACUUCAGACUGGAAAGUCGUUAUCGCUUUCUCUGGUUAUGGAGCAGCAGGUGGUGGCAGGGCUGUCCUCCGUCACCGACGCGAUGAUGUCGCUGAACUCAACAAGGAUGGUGACUUUGCAGGGUGUCGGUCGUGUUCAGGAUGUGACUUCCCUCCCUGGGUAAGCGUCAGCUGAAACAGCAGGGGCA